GCAGCAGGUCACACAAGGCACCUCCUAGUAUUGCAUCUUACAGAUGUGCCGUAAACAUCAAAAGAGGAUGAUUUGAACAGGACAUGCUGUUUUUGAAAUAAAUAUGGUUUAGACUUUCCCAUGUUAGCCAUGGAUGUAGCAGUUGCUCCCAUGAGAACACAAGAACUGGAUUCGAUGCCGUCUGAUGCAUCUCCUAUGCUUAUAAACAUGACUCCUACAAUGGAACAAGAUGGGGAAGAGGAUGCCAUAAAGGAUCUUGAUUCUGGCCAGCAGUAUGAAAAGCCUCCUCCUCUACACACUGGGGCUGAUUGGAAGAUUGUUCUCCACUUGCCAGAAAUUGAGACCUGGCUUCGGAUGACAUCUGAAAGAGUCAGAGAUCUGACCUACUCUGUCCAGCAGGACUCAGAUAGCAAGCAUGUGGAUGUGCAUCUAGUACAGCUGAAGGAUAUUUGUGAAGAUAUAUCCGAUCAUGUUGAACAAAUUCACGCUCUACUAGAGACUGAGUUUUCCCUGAAGCUUCUGUCUUACUCUGUCAAUGUGAUAGUCGAUAUCCAUACAGUACAACUACUCUGGCACCAGCUACGAGUUUCUGUUCUGGUUCUGAGAGAGCGUAUUCUCCAGGGACUACAAGACGCCAAUGGAAACUACACCAGGCAGACUGAUAUUCUGCAAGCAUUUUCUGAAGAGACUAAGGAGGAUCGUCUUGACUCUUUAACUGAAGUUGAUGAUUCUGGGCAGUUAACCAUCAAAUGUUCUCAAAAUUACUUGUCCCUGGAUUGUGGUAUUACUGCAUUUGAACUAUCUGACUACAGUCCUAGUGAGGAUUUGCUUGGUGCUCUGGAUGAUAUGACCUCCAGCCAAGGGAAAGCAAAAUCAUUUGAAUCCUGGAACUAUAGUGAGAUGGAUAAGGAAUUUCCAGGACUUAUCAGAAGUGUGGGUUUACUUGCAGUAGCUACUGAUUCCAUUGCUUCCCAGUGUAAUGAAGCAUUAAAGGAGAAAGAAACCCAUGUACCUCUUUCAGCCGAAGAUGGAGAAGAAAGCAAAGACAAGAAAGCACCACAUGAUCUCUCACUAGCAUCUCCUUCUGCAAAUUCCUCUCUUUCUAAAGGACCUUGCUCUGAAAAUGUUAUUUUACCUACUGAGAGCAAACCAGUUUCCACAUCAAAGAAUCCAGAAUGCAGUCUUCCACAGCACGCUGGUGAAAAAAUCAAACACUCUCACUGUGAAACCUCAACUCCCAAGAGGUCCAUAAGAGACUGCUUUAACUAUAAUGAAGACUCUCCUACGCAGCCUACACUGCCAAAAAGAGGUCUAUUUCUGAAAGAUGAUGUGUUUAAAGAUUGUAUGGAAGCUAAUGAUUUAAAAAGGCAAAUCUCUCAAAUAGUCAAAAAUGAAAUGAGUAGAAGUACACCCUCAUUGUUAGAUCCACCAGACAGGUCCAAGCUUUGCCUAGCUUUACAGUCACCCUAUACUAACAGUCCAUUUGCAGUUAGUCAGUCAUAUGAUUGCUUAAAUACAAUAAGUGAUAAAAAUCUUGAUUACACAAUAAAUAAUCACUUUAAAGACAGUCCCAUAAUUCUAGGAAAGUCUCCUUUCUACACCUCUAAAGAAAAAUCAAAGCACAAGAAGUGUCAUGAUGCUCCAGAGAAAGUGAAAGCUGGCAGAAUAUCUGGAAAUAUUUGUAAAACAGCUCCAUCAACAGAAGACAAAAAAGGAGGAUAUUCUCUACAGAAUGGAAUCACUCCUCAUAACUCUCAGGCUCUGGAGGAGACGGAAACAGAUUCUUCUGCAUCAUCAGAUUCUUGUAACCAGAAAGAUCCAAAUGGGCAAUCACAAGGUAAAACUGAGUCCUGUAGUUCACCAACACAUAGCCAAAAGACUGCUUCUUCAGCUGGUUCUGAGCUUUCCAACUCAUCCCCUCUUCUACUGACGAGAAAGAAAAAUAAAAGCUUAUCCUCUACAACACACUAUACUCAAAAAACCGGGAAAGACAGUGAGGUGUGGUAUGGAUCUGAUGAAUAUUUAGCACUUCCUUCACAUCUCAAACAGACUGAAGUACUAGCUUUAAAACUAGAAAAUUUGACCAAGUUGCUGCCUCAAAAGCCCAGAAGAGAAACCAUUCAAAACAUUGAUGACUGGGAACUCUCAGAAAUGAACUCAGAUUCAGAAAUGUAUCCAACAUACCAGACAAAAAAGCACAAAAAAAGGGGUAGAAUUUCACCAAGCUCUUCAAGUGAUAUAGUAUCCUCCUUAGGUGACAGUAUUGAAUCUGGGCCUCUCAGUGAUAUUCUCUCUGAUGAAGAUCUUUGUAUGCCUGUAUCUUGCAUUAAAAAAUACAUUGAAGAAAAGUCAGAAAGGACUGCUGUCACUCAGCCCACUGGGAAUGAGACUUCUGCUUCAAAUAAAUCAGCUUUAAUUCAUCAACUGAUGCAAGAUAUACAACAUCAAGAGAAUUAUGAAACCAUAUGGGAAAAAAUUGAGGGGUUUGUAAGCAAACUGGAUGAAUUCAUUCACUGGUUAAAUGAAGCCAUGGAAACAACAGAGAAUUGGACUCCUCCUAAAGCAGAGACAGACAGCCUUAAACUGUACCUGGAGACACACUUGAGUUUUAAGUUGAAUGUAGAUAGCCACUCUGCUUUAAAAGAAGCAGUGGUAGAAGAAGGACGCCAACUUCUUGAGCUUAUUGUAUCUCACAAAUCAGAAGGACUGAAGGACAUGCUGCAGAUGAUUGCAAGUCAGUGGAAAGAACUACAGAAGCAAAUCAAACGGCAACACAGCUGGAUUCUUAGGGCUCUGGAUAUCAUCAAAGCAGAAAUACUGGCUACUGAUGUGUCUGCAGAGAAUGAGGAAGGGACUGGGAGCCCUAAGGCUGAGGUUCAGCUAUGCUAUCUGGAAGCACAAAGAGAUGCUGUUGAACAGAUGUCCUUAAAACUGUACAGUGAGCAGUACAACAGUAGUAGCAAGCGAAAGGAAGAGUUUGCUGAUAUGUCAAAAGUUCACACAGUGGGAAGUAAUGGCCUUUUGGACUUUGAUUCAGAAUACCAGGAGCUCUGGGAUUGGCUGAUUGACAUGGAAUCCAUUGUGAUGGACAGCCAUGACCUGAUGAUGUCAGAGGAGCAGCAGCAGCAUCUUUACAAGAGAUACAGUGUAGAAAUGUCAAUCAGGCACCCGAAAAAGAUGGAACUGCUUAGUAAGGUUGAAGCUCUGAAGAAAAGUGGUGUUUUACUACCAAACGAUCUCCUUGAAAAAGUGGAUUCAAUUAAUGAAAAAUGGGAACUGCUUGGGAAAACCCUAGGAGAGAAGAUCCAAGACAUAAUGGUAGGGCACAGUGGGUUGGGUCCACGUGACCUGCUCUCGCCUGAAAGUGGCAGCCUGGUAAGGCAGCUGGAGGUCAGGAUCAAAGAGCUGAAAGGGUGGCUGAGAGAUACAGAGCUUUUCAUCUUCAAUUCCUGUCUGAGACAAGAAAAUGAAGGAACAAUGAAUGCUGAGAAACAACUGCAGUAUUUUAAGUCUUUAUGCUGUGAGAUCAAACAGAGACGUCGUGGGGUAGCCUCUGUGCUGCGAUUAUGCCAGCACCUCCUGGAUGAUCAGGAGACCUGCAACCUAAAUGCAGAUCACCAGUCCAUGCAGUUGAUAAUUGUAAACCUUGAGAGAAGGUGGGAAGCUAUUGUCAUGCAAGCUGUCCAGUGGCAAACAAGGCUACAGAAGCGAUUAGAAAAAGACUCGGAGCCUCUGAAUGUUAUUGAUCCCAGUUUGAUGGAUCUAAAUGGUCCAAGUGAAGAUGCACUAGAAUGGGAUGAAACUGACAUAAGCAAUAAGCUGAUCAGUAUUCAUGAAGACUUAAGCGAUCCUGAUCAGGAGCUCAAGAAGGAUGACCUAAACCAGAAACCUGCUUCAGGAGAAUGUGGUGAUAAUGAUGUGAAUGAAGACGAAAGUAUCAGUAGUCGUGGAAGUCCUCUUUAUUGUUCCAACAUUACUUCCCCUCCAAAUCCUCAUGUCUAUCAGGUCUAUAGUCUUCAUAAUAUUGAAUUAUCAGAAAAAAACCACAUACCUUUUUUGAAAAAAACAUCCAGACUCUCCAGUGUAACACAGUCUAACAUUUUAAACAAAAGUCUUAGUAAAGACUCAUCGUUUUCAUCUACCAAAUCCCUACCAGAUCUAAUAGGGGGGACCACACUGACAAAACCUUAUAACUAUAUAUAUCAGAGUGGAAACAUAAGCAGGCAUUCUGAGAGUGAGAGUGGGAUAGUGAGUGAAUGUGAUACAGAAACUACAAAUAAUUCAGAAAUUUUUUUGCUAAAUGAUAUUGAAACCACUCAGAGUAAUCCUGAAAUUGGGCAUGUGGAAAGUCAAGUGGAUGAUGUAAUACAUCAAAAAAUAAAGCAAGAUGAAGAAGACCAUGCUAGUCUCUCAGACGAUUUCCAGUUGGCACCUUCUGCAUGUUGUGGAAGUGAAAAUGGUGAGGAUUUGGACAGCAUUACCAUGUCUAACCCUGUUUCUCUAGAAGAAUUGCAAGGAAAACAUGACGUGUUUACAUUUUAUGAUUACUCAUAUCUUCAAGGCUCCAAAUUCAAAUUACCGGUUAUAAUGAAACAAUCACAAAUUGAAAAAACACAUACAGAGGGUAGUUUGUUUAAUGACAUUUGUUUUGAUAAAAUGCCUGGUAACUCUGAACAUAAGUCUGUAGAGUCACAACCAGAUGAGUUUAUUCAUGACCAUACUCUGGCAAGUAUUUGUGGAGAAUCAGAUCCCAAUUGCUGUAAAUCUGCAGAAACUGUAAGAAAAUUAACUGUUACAGAGAAUACAAGACUGGUUUCAGCUUUAUCUCGUAGUUCUUCAUUAGAAUCUCUGUCUGUAGUAGGGGAUUUAUUCAGCUCAGGUAUUUUUAAAAGUGGAGAUGGUCUUCAGCGAAGUACCUCUUUGGAGAGCUGGCUGACUUCCUACAAAAGCAACGAAGAUCUUUUUAGUCAUCAUGGCUCAGGAGACAUAAGUGCAAGCAGUGAUUCUGUUGGAGAGCUCAGUAAAAGGACAUUAGAUCUUUUGAAUCGCUUAGAGAAUAUCCAGAGUCCUUCAGAUCAAAAGAUAAAGCGCAGCAUCUCUGAUAUAACACUCCAAAGUAGCUCUCAAAAAAUGUCUUUUACUGGACAGCUGUCUCUAGAUGUUGCAUCUUCGAUCAAUGAAGAUUCAGCAGCUUCUCUCACUGAACUCAGCAGCAGUGAGGAUCUUUCUCUCUGCUCUGAAGACAUUGUACUGCACAGAAAUAAAAUACCAGAUUCGAAUGCAUCAUUUAGAAAACAUCUUAAUAGGUCUGUAGCUGAUGAGAGCGAUGUCAAUGUCAGCAUGAUUGUUAACGUCUCCUGCACUUCUGCUUGUACUGAUGAUGAAGAUGACAGUGAUUUGCUUUCAAGUUCCACUCUUACCUUAACUGAGGAAGAGCUAGGUAUCAAAGAUGAAGAUGACGACUCCAGUAUAGCAACUGAUGAGGAUAUUUAUGAAGAAUGCAAUUUAAUUUCAGGACUUGAUUAUAUAAAAAAUGAACUGCAAACCUGGAUUAGACCAAAAUUUUCUUUGACAAGGGAGAGAAGAAAAAGUAACCUCUGUGAUGAAAUUCAGCACAGUAAAGAAGUUAGUAACGAGACAUCUAAAGCCACAGAUACAUUAAGCAUUGAAACACUAUUGAAUGGUUCAGUACAGAAAAUGUCAGAAAAUAAUGGCAAUAGUAAGAAUAUACCAUGUGAUCAUGAAAAAGGGACAAAGAGUCACCCAAUGAAAGACAUCUCCCAGGUUGUGAAGGAUCAGCUUGUGGAUGAUAUGGAGAAUGGCAAUGUUGAAAAUACUCUUGGCAGUCAAAAGGAAGGUGUUGUUAAAAUAGCAGCAACACCCAAAACUCAUGCAUCACUUGAUGUUAGAGAAGCUGAAAAUGAAGGUUGUAUCUGUGAAGCAUUUACAGACAGUUCAGAUGAUUCACGUAUGGACAGUAAAGAGACUAUUCAGUCCUCAGCUGGAUUCAGAAACCCUCCAAAAGAAUGUCAAAGUCAUCUUCAAUCUGAUCAUAACUCUGUUGCUUCCUCUCCUGCUAAAAAGCCUUGUCUUGAAUCUUCCUCAGAAAUUAGUUCUGUAGACAUGCAAGGUACAGCUUUACAGGCAUCCUUACCUAAUGGUCAACAACACAGAAUAAGCAUUACUGAAAAAUUUGCUGAUUGCUGUGCUACCUUGAAAUCCAGUAAAGCAGAAUGCAUUUCCUCAACCAAUGGUCUUGAUUUGUGCUGUAACUGUGAAUCUGCUGAUUUUGAUAAAAAAACCAUGGAGGAUGGUUCAGUACACAAUUUUGUGAAGGAGAUAAUAGACAUGGCAUCAACAGCUUUGAAAAGUAAGUCACAGCCUGAAUGUGAGUCAUCUGCUCCAGCUUCAUUAGCACAGAUCAAGGAAAAAGUGUUAGAACACUCUCAUAGACCCAUCCAGCUAAGAAAAGGGGACUUCUAUUCUUACCUUUCACUUUCUUCUCAUGAUAGUGACUGUGGAGAGGUAUUCAAAUACAUAGAGGAAAAGAGCAGCACUCCUGUGCCACUGGACUUCACAGAUGAGAGAGAAAAUAUUGAAUGCUUUUUUGAAGCCUGUCCUGAGGAAGAAUGGGUUGAGCAGCAGCAAUCCAUUUCUAAUGGUUCUCCUGAAGCACAAGUUGAGCAGCAGCAACCUAUUUCUAACCCUAUUUCUGAAACAUCUGCAGAACCACUAGGUGAAGUGACUCCAGAGUCAUUAGAAGUUAAAAGUUCACCUGAAGGUAGGGAUUUAUCUUUUUUGUGUGGGAAUGACAAUAAUAUCAAUGUCCCAAGUCCUAACAAACAUAAUGCAUCAAACAAUUUGAAAAAUGCUGAUGAUGAUUUGCUGAUUUCAGAUGGACAGACUGAAAGUUUUGAAAAGAAUUCUCCAGAGCUUAGCACUAAAAAGAGUAGUACAGGGAAAUCACCUGGAACUGAAGAGCACAAAGGAUGUGUUGCUGCUUCUGAAGAGGCUUCAGCUAUAGAGUUUCAGAUAAAGCCUGGCCAUUCGCAGAAAAAGGUCGUUUUGCAUCAGAACAGAAAAACUCUUACUUGUGAAGAAAAUCUCCUGAAACUUCAUAAGGAAAGACAUAUAAAUAUGCACAGAUAGAAUGUAACCAUCUCAAGGCACGUACAUUAUUCUAGAAACAGGUAGGUGAAAGAUUUUUUUUAUGGAACAGUGCCUCUGCAUCAUUGUUACGGAAGAGAUAUACGCUACUGGAAAUAACGAGCCCUUAGACAAGGUGGUAUGGCAAUUUCUCAUACAGGCUGUGGUGCAUAUAUACCUGAAUUUCUGCUCUGUAGCUUUCGAAUCAAAAGUCUGAACCCCGAAUUCACUUUAGCGGGCAUGGGUUCUGUUGUUUCUUCAUAAGGAAGAGGACCAAACUUGAUCUGAGAAACACCUGCCUCUAACAAGCUUGAAAAAGAAAUUGUGGCAAGCAGAUUUUAAAUGAUAUACAAUGACAGACAAAAAAAAUUAUAAAUGGAAAAGAAAACAAAAAAGCAAUUUUUCUGUAAAUCCUAGUAGUCCUCUGCCAGUAGUCUAAUCAAGAAUACUCCAAGCUAUGUAGGAUUAUUAUAGUUCUAUUAAUUGGUCCUGACAUGGUGAUGUUAGACAAAUCUAUGCCUCUCUAUAGUUUUUACUUUACUUACCUCAAAGUAGGGCUUUUCAAAGUGCUGAAAGGAGUAUGGAAGUGUCUUUUCAAUGGUUAAAAUGGUUGCAUGAAUCAAAAAAACAACACAACCCCAUAGUUCUGUUGGCAUGAUGAGUAUCUGUGCUGGCUCAGCUGAUCAGUGAUGCUUUUGGCCAUAUUUUGUAGAGGCAAAGCCUUUUAAAAGUUUUCAUGCACGUAGAGCUCAAUUUUCCACUAUUAUUAUGACUACUAAAGAAAACUGUCUUUGUAAGGACCUUGCUUUAAAUGUGUACAUAAACGUCUCUCAAACCUGUUGCUGUUCAUUUUACAUAUUCCUGCAUCUUAUCCUCUGGUCUUCGAAGCUGAACGAUUCACUCAUUCUUCUUGCACAACUCAGCAACUAAAUGAAGGGUUUGUAACUUAUGUUUGUAACAAGCAAUUUACAGGUAACACUUAGAAAGGUGGGUAAGUGGCAGCAGAGCAGUAGGGGCUUGGAGUGAAGAGAAGAUGGAUGGAAGGAGGAAUUCUAAGUGCUUCAGUGCUUUAAAAAUGGAAUUUCCUUUACAAUAGCAAGUAGUAUUACUUUAUUUCUGGUGGGUGGGAGAAUAAGCUAAAUUAAAAGUUAAGUUAAAAUUGUAUAAAGCAGUAAUUCUUGAAUACAGCUAUUACUGGAGAUAUGUGAUGCUGAAGUUGUACCAGCUAGGCUGGAGGGAGGAUUCAGAUCUGCAAAUGUCAUGCUGACUGAUAACUGAAAAAGAAGAGAGAAGUGGAGGAGGAGGUGGAACUUCAAGGAUGGUUGAUGGGAAGUAGCUUUGGUUAAAAUAUUUGUAGAAUGAUAGGAGCAUACACUGUAUUGAAACAUUUAUCUCUGUUGCUAGACUCGUUAAUGGAAACUAAAGUGAUGCUAUUCAUGAAUACUCAUUUUUCUGAAUCUGCUGUUCAGUUAUGCCAAGCAUAUCAAUCAGGUGUACCGAUAUCAGUUAAUUAACAUUUGAUUGCAUUAAACACAGGGUGUUGAAGAGGAGGUUCCUGGGAGGGGGAGGGGUAUCUAUGUGUGAUUACUUUGGAAGGGGAGGGAUGUGUUCCUAAUAAUUAUUGUCAGUUGUGAGAAAAGUCAAAUUUUAAUCUGUGUGUACAUAUUUCUGUGCCACUCACCACUCUUAUGGCCACAGUAAGAGGGGAAGACAAAGGCAGCCACUAUAUCAGCACCUUAGCCCUCAGCUAUGUACUGCACAUUGGAUUUUCACAUGUAGAGCAGCAUCCAGAAAUAUAAAGGUCACCUGUGUAGAAGUAAGAUAUAUGAGAGAGGAGAGGGGAGGGGAGGGGAGGGGAGGAGAGGAGAAGGAAAGGAGAAGGAAAGUUGAGUUGUGCCUGUAGUAUAUAUAACUAUUUGAUUGUAUUUUGUAAUUUAUUAGACAUGGUAAUAUUAAAAAUAAUAAAUGAUUUUGUUAAGACAAA